rnacentral:rRNA from 1 species
CCUACGGGAGGCAGCAGUGAGGAAUAUUGGUCAAUGGACGAGAGUCUGAACCAGCGAAGUAGCGUGAAGGAUGACUGCCCUAUGGGUUGUAAGCUUCUUUUAUAUGGGAGUAAAAUGUUCCACGUGUGGGAUUUUGUAUGUACCAUAUGAAUAAGGCUCGGCUAACUCCGUGCCAGCAGCCGCGGUAAUACGGAGGAUCCGAGCGUUAUCCGGAUUUAUUGGGUUUAACGGGAGCGUAGGUGGAUUGUUAAGUCAGUUGUGAAAGUUUGCGGCUCAACCGUAAAAUUGCAGUGGAAACUGGCAGGCUGGAGUACAGUAGAGGUGGGCGGAAUUCGUGGUGUAGCGGUGAAAUGCUUAGAUAUCACGAAGAACUCCGAUUGCGAAGGCAGUUCACUGGACUGCAACUGACACUGAGGCUCGAAAGUGUGGGUAUCAAACAGGAUUAGAUACCCUUGUAGUC